GGCAUGCUGUGACAGGUUUUAAUCCUUGGAAUGAUUUUUUUUUUCUUUAUCAUGUUUUGUGUAACAUCUUAUCUGUCUUGUAGUUUGAGAUGAACACUGCCCUAGAAAAUGGAAUCUUUAUGUACUAAAUAAUCAUCUCUUGUGUAGAAGUAGUUUAGCAAUGUAUAGCAUCUUUAUGUACGAGUAAAUUGUUGCUUUUGGGUAGGGGGGCUUGCAGCAAUGAUGGGACCCCCACCGCCUAACGGUCAGAGCAGUCCAAAAAAAAAAUGUUGUGAAGUGGAGUUUAUCCCGGCUUUGUACAUCUGAGGUGAAUUGAACUGGAGCUAGCAGGAUACGUUGAAGAAAGGGAUGUUGAAAGAACCUUUUUUCUUUUUUUUUCUUUUUUUUAAUGGUUCUGUUUUUGUUUUUUAAAUUUCCGUAAUUCUUUUUUUUUUCCCAUUUGAUUGGGUAUGCAAGUGCAUUGGUGGAGGCCGGUGGGGCCAUCAGAAGCUAUACAAUUCACCUGUAAUGCUUGUAGUGAUGGCUUCUUUGCUUCAUAUGAAUUGUAGAAUACAUGUAGUAUAUGUGCAGUUAAUAAGUGUAAGAUUAUUAGUUUAACUGAAAAAAAAUGUCUAGUCGUGGUGUUUGACAGGCCUUGCUCUAAAUUUGUAGUGAUGCUUUUAUUUCGUCUGUACAGUUGUACAUUUGUAAACGUUUAUGCUGUAAAUGGGAUGUCUUUUACACUUUUUGGGGAGAAAAAGGCAAAAAUGUGCAUUUAGAUGUGUGUAUAUUCAUCACUCCUUUCCCCUUGAAUAUAAUGUAUACAGUUUUAUUUGAGCAAGUGUUAUUUUAAAGAAAAAAAAAACUUUAUGGCUUCACAAUCUGGCAUGGUUUUUGUUUUUAAUCUGUUAUGGGAAAGGCCAGCCUCUAUUUGUACUGAAGCUGUAACAUCCACUGUUGAUAGUCUUUCUGAUGUGUGACAGUUUAAAAAGAAAAAAGAAACACUCUGUACUAAAACUGAGGCUGCAUUUAGUCCUCUCUGCUACCAUGGAAACUUCACAGGAUAUGACAAGAAUUAUUUUUGUACAGAAGAGUGCUGUAUUUUGGAACAGCUACCUUGUAAGCAAAAGCAAUGUAAAAUAUUGUCAAUUAUAUAAAUAUGAACAUAUGAGUUUUGUCACACUGUCAAAGUCAUGUACAUUUUCAGGUGGCCUUAUGUACAUUUCCAGAUGUUAGAUGAAGAAAACAAACUCAUUUUUGGAAGCAGAAUUGUGACUAUGUAUGAUUAAACUGUUCUUCUAACAUUU
ensembl:lncRNA